CAACUCUUUUUGAUAUCACGAACUUCAACUAUUUUCAGUCGAAGUUUCGUUGGUGUUAAACCUAAAAAUAAAAUUUGACAGAUAAUUAACAGCUGCCAAUUUUCAAACGAAAAAUAAAAAACAAUUAAAUUCAGAAAAAGUGAUAAAUUAUUAAAAUGGACAUAAGUUUUGAUUUAUUUAACGAUGAGAAAAAUGCUGGGCCAAAACUGAUGGGCUGCGAAUAAGAAAAAGCUUCCGUGAUCACUCAAAUCCAUUCCAUUGAAACUCUCUAACAUUAAAUUCACAAGUUAUUUUCGAUUAAAUGAGAAAUUAUUAAAUUUUUUUCUAAAUGAGAUGAAGAAACAUUAACACAAACUUUCCGUUUUCUUGCUGCCGGAAUGCAUUUUAAAUAACUUCAACUUUGGGCUGGAGCGAACUACGAUAUCUAUGACUGUUAAAGAGGUUUUUAAUAUUAUGAACACCGUAUUUGUACGCUGUGGAUAAAAUACAAAUUACUGAAGAGGAGCAAAACGCUUCAAAAAUUUAAUUUUUACUCAAAAAUUAUAUUUCUAGUAUAUAGAUUGUAUCGAAAAUGUU